rnacentral:tRNA from 2 species
GCGGGAUUGGUGGUAUUGGCAGUACACAUGGGUGUUAAAGUCCCAUAGGGUUCUCCCUUGCGAGUUCGAGUCUCGCAUCCCGUACCA